UUAAUUGAAACCAAAUUAGAGGUAAAUUAUUGUUAAUAAUUUAAAUGAAUAAAAACUUAAUUCCAAUUAAA
rnacentral:tRNA from 1 species